CCCAUCAUAGGGUGAGCUACAGUGCGGCACCGGGACGGUACCGAUUCAAAGCUGGGGCGAAUGUAACAGGUUGGACUAGGUCCCCUGUUAGUGUGCAUGUUGUAAUUGAAAACAGCUGCCCGUGUGGGCGAGGGUGGAGCCCUUCCGGUUGGUAUAAAUUGCCUACUAUGUUGUCUGUUAGCCAGGUGUGGCUAACCUCAGUACCGGUUGGCGCUUGGGGAAGCCCUGUACGCUGGGUGAAGUAGGUGAUGUUGGGUGUUGGACCCACACUGGAGCGCGUAGAGCGCAGCUGAAAUGCGGACGCCAGGUUGCCGCAUGUAGCCUAACCGGCUCGAAGCAUUGCAUGGUGAAGCAAGGGUCAACCGUAGACUUCCAAGCUCGGUCCAGUGCUUCCCAAUUGCAACUGAAGGUAAUUACUAAUUAACCGUCACUCUGUGCCUGUGGCUUUCAUGCCACACCUUGCUCAUUGAUAAUGGCAUUUCCCUGGCAUUAACCCAGUCUGUCUUGUGCUUUCUAGGUUGAGCACAUUAUUGUCAAUUGGCUGGGGUGGGGGGGACGCCGCCGUCUUUUCCCGGUGUUUGUGUUUGUUAUUUUGCCUUUUACCACCACGAGCUCUUUUAGUAGUGGCAGGUUGUUGUUCCUUUGCGCAGGUGCGCGACGCUUUCGUCUUUCAGCCAUACGGUCUGACACGGUCAGCUCCAGUCACCCACCCCUUAGACAAGGGAUGAGUGAUUGGGGACUGGCCGGUUGAGAUUUGUAGCAGUAUCGUGUAAACUUAUUGGUGAGGUGUAGAUCCCCUGAGUGGUAUAGUAAACUCUCUGCCAAGAGGCCUGAUUUGAUAAACAUAGGCUACCUCUUCACUGUGAAUCAUUUCAGUGUGCUGUGACUUAUUUUGUUUAUUUUGAUUAUGUUUUGUGUGUACAGUUUUGAUUAAUUGCAGUGUUAUUUUGUAUUCGCAGUGCAGUGUGUAGUUAACACACUCAGUAAAUUACCUGUAGCCUACUAGGCCUACUCAGUGCUCUCGCACUUAAGCCGUCACCGUUUCACGAUAUGUACCUGUAUUGACUUCAGUAGAGUUAAGACUCUGUUUGUGUAUAUGGACUCAAGUGAACUGCCUGCUCAUUUUGAAAACGAAUAAGACUGAAAGCAGAAGAAAAUAAAAACUAUUGUAUGUGCAA